rnacentral:ncRNA from 1 species
UAAGGCUCCCAGUAGACGACUGGGUUGAUAGGCCAGAUGUGGAAGCCCGGUAACGGGUGGAGCUGACUGGUACUAAUAGGCCGAGGGCUUGUCCUC